ACUCCUACGGGAGGCAGCAGUGGGGAAUAUUGCACAAUGGGCGCAAGCCUGAUGCAGCCAUGCCGCGUGUAUGAAGAAGGCCUUCGGGUUGUAAAGUACUUUCAGCAGUGAGGAAGGCGGGUACGUUAAUAGCGUGCUCGUUUGACGUUAGCUGCAGAAGAAGCACCGGCUAACUACGUGCCAGCAGCCGCGGUGAUACGUAGGGUGCGAGCGUUGUCCGGAUUUAUUGGGCGUAAAGGGCUCGUAGGUGGUUGAUCGCGUCGGAAGUGUAAUCUUGGGGCUUAACCCUGAGCGUGCUUUCGAUACGGGUUGACUUGAGGAAGGUAGGGGAGAAUGGAAUUCCUGGUGGAGCGGUGGAAUGCGCAGAUAUCAGGAGGAACACCAGUGGCGAAGGCGGUUCUCUGGGCCUUUCCUGACGCUGAGGAGCGAAAGCGUGGGGAGCGAACAGGCUUAGAUACCCUGGUAGGUG
rnacentral:rRNA from 1 species